rnacentral:rRNA from 1 species
AUUGAACGCUGGCGGCAUGCUUUACACAUGCAAGUCGAACGGCAGCGCGGGGCAACCUGGCGGCGAGUGGCGAACGGGUGAGUAAUAUAUCGGAACGUACCCCGAAGUGGGGGAUAACGUAGCGAAAGUUACGCUAAUACCGCAUACGAUCUACGGAUGAAGGUAGGGGACCGCAAUGCCUUAUGCUUUUGUUGCGGCCGCUAUCUGAUUAGCUAGUUGGUGAGGUAAAGGCUCACCAAGGCGACGAUCAGUAGCUGGUCUGAGAGGACGACCAGCCACACUGGAACUGAGACACGGUCCAGACUCCUACGGGAGGCAGCAGUGGGGAAUUUUGGACAAUGGGCGCAAGCCUGAUCCAGCAAUGCCGCGUGAGUGAAGAAGGCCUUCGGGUUGUAAAGCUCUUUUGUCAGGGAAGAAACGGUAGAGGCUAAUAUCCUUUGCUAAUGACGGUACCUGAAGAAUAAGCACCGGCUAACUACGUG